rnacentral:rRNA from 1 species
GAUGAACGCUGGCGGCGUGCCUAAUACAUGCAAGUCGAGCGAACGGACGAGAAGCUUGCUUCUCUGAUGUUAGCGGCGGACGGGUGAGUAACACGUGGAUAACCUACCUAUAAGACUGGGAUAACUUCGGGAAACCGGAGCUAAUACCGGAUAAUAUUUUGAACCGCAUGGUUCAAAAGUGAAAGACGGUCUUGCUGUCACUUAUAGAUGGAUCCGCGCUGCAUUAGCUAGUUGGUAAGGUAACGGCUUACCAAGGCAACGAUGCAUAGCCGACCUGAGAGGGUGAUCGGCCACACUGGAACUGAGACACGGUCCAGACUCCUACGGGAGGCAGCAGUAGGGAAUCUUCCGCAAUGGGCGAAAGCCUGACGGAGCAACGCCGCGUGAGUGAUGAAGGUCUUCGGAUCGUAAAACUCUGUUAUUAGGGAAGAACAUAUGUGUAAGUAACUGUGCACAUCUUGACGGUACCUAAUCAGAAAGCCACGGCUAACUACGUGCCAGCAGCCGCGGUAAUACGUAGGUGGCAAGCGUUAUCCGGAAUUAUUGGGCGUAAAGCGCGCGUAGGCGGUUUUUUAAGUCUGAUGUGAAAGCCCACGGCUCAACCGUGGAGGGUCAUUGGAAACUGGAAAACUUGAGUGCAGAAGAGGAAAGUGGAAUUCCAUGUGUAGCGGUGAAAUGCGCAGAGAUAUGGAGGAACACCAGUGGCGAAGGCGACUUUCUGGUCUGUAACUGACGCUGAUGUGCGAAAGCGUGGGGAUCAAACAGGAUUAGAUACCCUGGUAGUCCACGCCGUAAACGAUGAGUGCUAAGUGUUAGGGGGUUUCCGCCCCUUAGUGCUGCAGCUAACGCAUUAAGCACUCCGCCUGGGGAGUACGACCGCAAGGUUGAAACUCAAAGGAAUUGACGGGGACCCGCACAAGCGGUGGAGCAUGUGGUUUAAUUCGAAGCAACGCGAAGAACCUUACCAAAUCUUGACAUCCUUUGACAACUCUAGAGAUAGAGCCUUCCCCUUCGGGGGACAAAGUGACAGGUGGUGCAUGGUUGUCGUCAGCUCGUGUCGUGAGAUGUUGGGUUAAGUCCCGCAACGAGCGCAACCCUUAAGCUUAGUUGCCAUCAUUAAGUUGGGCACUCUAAGUUGACUGCCGGUGACAAACCGGAGGAAGGUGGGGAUGACGUCAAAUCAUCAUGCCCCUUAUGAUUUGGGCUACACACGUGCUACAAUGGACAAUACAAAGGGCAGCGAAACCGCGAGGUCAAGCAAAUCCCAUAAAGUUGUUCUCAGUUCGGAUUGUAGUCUGCAACUCGACUACAUGAAGCUGGAAUCGCUAGUAAUCGUAGAUCAGCAUGCUACGGUGAAUACGUUCUCGGGUCU